GAUGAACGCUGGCGGCGUGCUUAACACAUGCAAGUCGAGCGAAGCACUUAAGUGGAUUUUUUCGGGAUGAAGCUUAUUUGACUGAGCGGCGGACGGGUGAGUAACGCGUGGGUAACCUGCCUCAUACAGGGGAAUAACAGUUAGAAAUGACUGCUAAUGCCGCAUAAGCGCACACUACCGCAUGGUAGAGUGUGAAAAACUCCGGUGGUAUGAGAUGGACCCGCGUCUGAUUAGCUAGUUGGUGGGGUAACGGCCCACCAAGGCGACGAUCAGUAGCCGACCUGAGAGGGUGACCGGCCACAUUGGGACUGAGACACGGCCCAAACUCCUACGGGAGGCAGCAGUGGGGAAUAUUGCACAAUGGGGGAAACCCUGAUGCAGCGACGCCGCGUGGGUGAAGAAGUAUUUCGGUAUGUAAAGCCCUAUCAGC
rnacentral:rRNA from 1 species